CAGUCGCCGCGGGAAUACGGAGGGUGCAAGCGUUAAUCGGAAUUACUGGGCGUAAAGCGUGCGUAGGCGGUUCGUUAAGUCUGUUGUGAAAGCCCCGGGCUCAACCUGGGAAUGGCAAUGGAUACUGGCGAGCUAGAGUGUGUCAGAGGAUGGUGGAAUUCCCGGUGUAGCGGUGAAAUGCGUAGAGAUCGGGAGGAACAUCAGUGGCGAAGGCGGCCAUCUGGGACAACACUGACGCUGAGGCACGAAAGCGUGGGGAGCAAACAGGAUUAGAUACCCCAGUAGUCCCUGUCUCUUAUAU
rnacentral:rRNA from 1 species